UACGGAGGGUGCAAGCAUUGAUCGGAAUUACUGGGCGUAAAGGGCGCGUAGGCGGCCAAUUAAGUUAGGUGUGAAAUUCCAGGGCUCAACCCUGGAGCAGCAUUUAAGACUGGAUGGCUAGAGGUCAGUUAGGGAAAACGGAAUUCCACGUGUAGCGGUGAAAUGCGUAGAUAUGUGGAAGAACACCAGUGGUGAAGACGGUUUUCUGGGCUGAAACAGACGCUGAGGCGCGAGAGCAAGGGGAGCAAACAGG
rnacentral:rRNA from 1 species